UGACUUAGUGUUGUUUUAUGCUUUAUCUGUUAAAAUAUGAACAAUUUUCCUCUUUCCGUUUGGUUUUUAUGACGUUUUUACAAAAGCACUGUUUUUGGAGUGAUGUCCCCCCUUAAUUCUUUUGAACUUGAAUAAAACGUGAGAAGUGAUAGCUAAAUGCCAUGUGUUUAAGAACAUCCAUCCAUCUAUCUAGCCCGCCGUUCUGGCCGGUGAAAGUGUCUUUUACGUAUCUUUUGUGUGUUUUUUUUUCGGCCAAAAAAGAUAGAUAAAAGGCAAUUCAAAGACAGCUGGAAGACAGCCAAAAUAUACAUUGAGGUGACUUCUUUCUAUCUUGUGUGUAUCUGUCGCCAGACUUCCUGCUAACUUUUUCGAAAAGAUAGAAAAAAGACGAAUCUAAGUGCUCCAGUUCUACGCGGGCAGAAGCUUGCUUGGAGAUGUGCUCAUGAACGAGCAUCUGAAGGAAGAAUAUGAUAUGAAGUUCUCUUACGAAAUGGAAGUUUACUUGGCAGACAUAAUAGUGCAAUUAUUUCCAACAGAUGUCAAGUCUGCAGGCUUCUCCCACUCCUGGUGGUAGGGAUAGUGUUGAGGGAAGGCGCAAAUUAGUAAAAAGGUUAAAAGCGUAAGGUUAUGCGCAAAGGUAGACUAAUUAAGGAGGCUCAGAAAGACAAGGAAACUCCAAACAUCUCCAGUGAUGAAAGGAUCAGGAUGAUCCUGCCCAUGAUGACAUACUCAGGCUGAAGAACAACAACAGCCCUGGUCAAGUUUGGAAGAAUAAUGGAAAGCUAAAUCUUCGUAUCGUUUGCGCAAGUUAGGGGGUGCCUCCUCAACUGAUUGCUACAUGAGUGUUUAUCCUGCAUUAAGGGAUCCCCUGGGCUAUUUGCUUCGGGAAAUGGAUUUUGAUUUGAAGGAGUUCCCCAACUCUCGAGUCAAUUUGUUCGGAGAGUGGCCGAACCUCUCGCUAUUGGAGUCUAAGGUGCCCAAAGCUAAACUAACUAAAAUUCAAAAUUGUUUGACUCCAGGGAAGGAAGAUAAAGACAAUUUUGGCUCUGCCUUAUCUGUUCCAAGUCUAAACAUGCGCCAAGAAAGGAAAGAACAAGCAGUGGCGACCCUCAAGAUACGAAGUUGGUAAAGCUCUGCUGCUUCAUGUAAAGACAAUUGGAGACAUUGAACCAACUUUGUUAGACCGGCUGAAAGAAAAGUAUGAGCAACAAUUUAAGCCUGGGACCUCAAGCAAUCGUUGUUGGCCCUGAUGUAGAUUCGAUUCAGCAAAGCUACAUCCGUGUCAACAACAUUCUGUACAAGGUGGACAAUGCACGCAAGGCUAUAGACAUUCCUUUCAAGAGUUUCCAUUCACUCGAUGGAAAAUAUCACAUUGGAGCAGAGAGGGAAUGGCUCUUCUUGGAAACAGCUGUGUGGCAUCAAUGAAGGGAAGGAUGGAGACGGCCGAAUUGAAAGCAGUCGCUCUGAGUAUUUAAAGUUUAAAUCAUCCAAGUGUUUCCCAUCUGUUUGCUCAAUUUCUUUUAGUUGAUUUUGAAAUGUUUUCUACACAACCUUUGUGCAGUUAGAGUUGUGUUUGUUUUUUUUCUUCUAAUGUUUUAGUAUUAAUAUUGAUCUCAUUGUAGUUAAACUUCGUAAUUUUAAUUAGUUUUCUUUCGUGUGCUUUUACAGGGCCCAUUGGUGUUACAUACCAGAUGUUUCAAAAUGUGCCUUGCUCUCAAUGUAUAAGUCCCAAUUUCCUGACUUGUUCUCUUUUCGUGUCCAUUUCCAAAUAUCUCACCAAAAUGUUAACACUUAUGUAUGCAUGUUUGACAAGUGUGACCGUAAAUUUAAUAAUUAUCGGCUGAGCGAUAGCGAAGCCCAUGUCGUAACCGGAUCAGCCCGAAGCGCAUACGGGCCCAGCACCUGCCGCGGAAAUAUAAUGAGGUGGUGGCCAGCGUGUGAAGGUGACGAGUCGAAACCGCGCACCGCCGCGGGGGUUGACCACAGCCCCCUCUCCCAGUCCGGCACCCGGCCGGACGGGGCUAAAAGCGGGGAGCGGACGCGACUCGGAGGGGACCUCCGAGUCGGAGCUGCUCGUCAGGGCCCCGGAAAAGACCCCGCUCGCCCUCGGACACCGCACGUCGCCAUCGCACUCGCCGCUCUGUAACUCCCUAGUGUAACUAUGUGUGAUUAAAGAGUUGUGCAAGAAUUUGCCCUCGCUUGCUACUGUUACACCUUGCCUUGUGAUCCCGCCUAGCCGAAUCAGACCCAACGAUGAAGGGUUGAGUUAUGGCCCAAAGAGAGUGCGAAGCUGAGUGGAGCAGAGCAGAGAGAAUGUUCUCUCGUUCUUUCUCAAAUCGCACGACCCCCGAAAUCGAUG